UUUGUUGGAUACAUGGCUCAUCAAAUGGCCACGUCUGUGUCAGCUUUGGCAGCAGAUAAUACCUCAUUUAAUGCGGAGGAGAGAGAGAGAGAGGAGAAGAUGAGACGUGUGAAAUGGCUCCAAACAUAGACCAUUUCUCACGCCACUCAACGGCUUAGUAAAAUGGCCCAAGGUGGUUGCUGACACGUUUCCUAAGGCAGCUCAAGAGCCUUACAAAUAAAGGUAAUCUCUUUUCAUCUUAUAACACUAAUGACUAGAGGGUACCAAAUAAGUUAGGAAUAAGUUUCUAGAGUAAUCUCUACUGGUUGGUGAGGGAUUAAUGAGUUCUUUGAGGGCUAAGAUUAAAUAUUUAUAUUUUGAGUUCUAAGGAAUGUUCUUCUAUACUUUUACUAUAUUUAGUGGAACUUUUCAUUACCCAUAGAUGUAAAAAGUCAACCUCUAAAUCACGUAAAUUUUUUAUGUCUCGGAUUAUGAGUUAUUCAUUUCAUUUUUGUAUUCUAGCUUAUAUGCUAAGUACAUAUUAGGAUUUUAUUUUAAGUACAUAUAAGGUAUAUCUUCUCAUUUGUCACAUCAGUCAAAGCUUGUCUCCCUCUCAUCUCAUUCUAUAACGGUGACCCUCCCACAACAUCUCUAUUGUCUUGUUCAUCGCAAUGGUUGACACUAGAUCACCUAUGUAAGGGUGGCCUACUCAACCCCUUUACAAGGGAGGUCCAUGUGAGCCUUUUCUCACCUUUUGGGCUAUCAAUUAUGAAUGUUUUAUGGUUAAAAAACGGCCUAGUCCCUCUUUUGUAAUCUACACUUAAAAAGUGGAGCUUGAGGAAAGAGAAAAACAAAGAGGAAGAUAGAUAAAUCAAAAGCAUGGAAAACCCUUUUUCCUCUCUAGCGGCUGAAGAUAGGAUCUGGACUCCACCCCUUCUCUCUCUCAACCGAUGGCUGGAUUUAUGGCUUCAUUAACUCUAUUUUUGUUGUACCUUGGUCCUCAGACAUUGGAUAUUUUUCUUUCUCCUCAUUCACUACUGCUCAUGAACUGUGUUUAUCUUUUUUAGACCACAAUAAUCAAGAUCUACAUUAUUAUACCCCAUUCUACAUUCUCUAUCAUUUAUCACCUAGUGGACUUGCUCUACUCGUGCUCUCUCAUUUUUACUGUGUUGACAGACCAUUUAUAAGUCUACUAAGAUCUCAAUUCACUCUCUGUACCCCAACAUCUCAGAUUCACGGGCUGACCUGCUUUCCAUCAGAUCUCCUCCGAACCUACCCCCAGAGCAGGAUAGAGAGGCCAUCGAUGGUGGUAGUGCUGGCGCACACGAACUCCGCGAAGUAGACUUGGAGAUCGUUGCCGAGGAAGGGAAGGCUUCCGAGCA
rnacentral:lncRNA from 1 species